rnacentral:rRNA from 1 species
GGGCCCGCACAAGCGGUGGAGCAUGUGGUUUAAUUCGAUGAUACGCGAGGAACCUUACCAGGGCUUAAAUGCAGUCCGACAGGGGUGGAAACACCCUUUUCUUCGGACGGAUUGCAAGGUGCUGCAUGGUUGUCGUCAGCUCGUGCCGUGAGGUGUCAGGUUAAGUCCUAUAACGAGCGCAACCCUUGCCGUUAGUUGCCAGCAUGUAAAGAUGGGAACUCUAACGGGACUGCCGGUGCAAACCGCGAGGAAGGUGGGGAUGACGUCAAAUCAUCACGGCCCUUACGUCCUGGGCCACACACGUGCUACAAUGGCCGGUACAGAGGGCAGCCACGCCGCAAGGCGGAGCGAAUCCUUAAAACCGGUCUCAGUUCGGAUCGGGGUCUGCAACUCGACCCCGUGAAGCUGGAAUCGCUAGUAAUCG